rnacentral:rRNA from 1 species
GAUGAACGCUGGCGGCGUGCCUAAUACAUGCAAGUCGAGCGAACGGACGAGAAGCUUGCUUCUCUGAUGUUAGCGGCGGACGGGUGAGUAACACGUGGAUAACCUACCUAUAAGACUGGGAUAACUUCGGGAAACCGGAGCUAAUACCGGAUAAUAUUUUGAACCGCAUGGUUCAAAAGUGAAAGACGGUCUUGCUGUCACUUAUAGAUGGAUCCGCUCUGCAUUAGCUAGUUGGUAAGGUAACGGCUUACCAAGGCAACGAUGCAUAGCCGACCUGAGAGGGGGUCGGGCCUCACUGGAACUGAGACACGGUCCAGACUCCUACGGGAGGCAGCAGUAGGGAAUCUUCCGCAAAGGGCGAAAGCCUGACGGAGCAACGCCGCGUGGGUGAUGAAGGUCUUCGGAUCGUAAAACUCUGUUAUUAGGGAAAAACAUAUGUGUAAUUAACAGUGCACAUCUUGACGGUACCUAAUCAGAAAGCCACGGCUAACUACGUG